rnacentral:rRNA from 1 species
ACUGAGUGGCGGACGGGUGAGUAACGCGUGGGUAACCUGCCCUGUACAGGGGGACGAACAGUUAGAAAUGACUGCUAAUACCGCAUAAGCGCACAGGACCGCAUGGUCCGGUGUGAAAAACUCCGGUGGUACAGGAUGGACCCGCGUCUGAUUAGGUAGUUGGCGGGGUAACGGCCCACCAAGCCGACGAUCAGUAGCCGACCUGAGAGGGUGACCGGCCACAUUGGGACUGAGACACGGCCCAAACUCCUACGGAAGGCAGCAG